ACGCGACAGGAAGAGAUCGUUUAAGCCGUUUCAGACAGCACUAGAUGCCUCACUGUCCUGUUAGACACCCUCUGAGACAGCACUUUAGCACAGCUAACACAGCUCAUAUUGAUAUACAAGUCAAAAUGCUUUAACUGACUAAAAAGAUCUGCGCUAAUCCUUUAUAAUCACACACAAACAGAGAAAGUCAGUGCGAGUGGCUUGCUAUUCAAAAUGUCUGCCAGUGCAUUUGCUAUUUGUGGGGACUGUGGAAACUCAAAAUUCCUGUCUUCACGCUAAAAGCGCCGCAGAAAGUGGGAGAACAAAAUUCCUUCAUGUAAUGGUUCAACUUCAGGUAGCUAGCUCAAGCUAUAUAACUUGUUAGCCCGUUAGCUAGUAGUCAGCUAGCUAUUAAGCUAGAUGCCUGUGAAGGCUCUUAGUCAUCCAGGCCAUAGUUAUCCAAGGAAGGUUAAAAUCAAGAUACUAGAAGACAUUUCGUCCCUCAUCCAAGAGACGACUUCAGUUCUGACUGACUGGUAGGGAAACUCCGCUAAUUAACCUCUGUGGACUAGUUUGCCAAGAUCAUCGAUUCCGCUGGCUAGCUAACACGUCACACCAUCUGAUCAAUCGUGUAUCCUGACUGUAAAGCCCACCACAGUCAUUCCUCUUUGAAGAACUUGUGGAUAUUUAAGACACCCUGAGAUGAGAACGUGUUUCCAGCAUUGAUGAUGAGUGAAUUAAAUCCUGAAAUAGCCUACCUGUGUGGAGCCCACUUCAUUGUUGACCGUUGGAGGAUGACAACAUGUUGGGGGCGCAAUGUGCUAGAAAAUGACAAUAAAUGUACGAAAGUA